rnacentral:misc_RNA from 1 species
AGCGCCAUUACACCCCCCAAGCACAGCUUGAUGUUGGGCGCUGCCUCCGCGGCACGCCCCGAACACGCAGGCGCCCUCACCGGCCCUCGAGCGUCUCACGGAUGAUAUCCCCUCGCUCGGGCGGUCCGGUGGCGGUCGCCUUGGCCCACCGAUUUAUCACGUUUGGCCUCGGAUCAGGCGGGGAUACCCGCUGAACUUAA